UGGGGAAUAUUGCACAAUGGGCGAAAGCCUGAUGCAGCAACGCCGCGUGAGUGAUGAAGGUCUUCGGAUUGUAAAGCUCUGUCUUUUGGGACGAUAAUGACGGUACCAAAGGAGGAAGCCACGGCUAACUACGUGCCAGCAGCCGCGGUAAUACGUAGGUGGCGAGCGUUGUCCGGAUUUACUGGGCGUAAAGGGUGCGUAGGCGGAUGUUUAAGUGAGAUGUGAAAUACCCGGGCUUAACUUGGGUGCUGCAUUUCAAACUGGAUAUCUAGAGUGCAGGAGAGGAGAAUGGAAUUCCUAGUGUAGCGGUGAAAUGCGUAGAGAUUAGGAAGAACACCAGUGGCGAAGGCGAUUCUCUGGACUGUAACUGACGCUGAGGCACGAAAGCGUGGGUAGCAAACAGGAUUAGAUACCCUGGUAGUCCACGCCGUAAACGAUGAGUACUAGGUGUAGGAGGUAUCGACCCCUUCUGUGCCGCAGUAAACACAUUAAGUACUCCGCCUGGGAAGUACGAUCGCAAGAUUAAAACUCUAAAAGUGAAUUGAC
rnacentral:rRNA from 1 species